rnacentral:rRNA from 1 species
UACAGAGGGUGCAAGCGUUAAUCGGAAUUACUGGGCGUAAAGCGUGCGUAGACGGUUAUUUAAGUCGGGUGUGAAAGCCCCGGGCUCAACCUGGGAAUUGCAUUCGAGACUGAAUAGCUAGGGUGCGGAAGAGGGAAGCGGAAUUUCCGGUGUAGCGGUGAAAUGCGUAGAUAUCGUAAGGAAGACCAGUGGCGAAGGCGGAUCUCUGGACAGUUACUGACACUGAGGCACGAAGGCCAGGGGAGCAAACGGG